rfam:Myotis davidii contig58666, whole genome shotgun sequence.
GGUGGGGGUGAGGGGUCCCUCAGCCUGGAUUGCAAGAGGGCACAGGCCAGGCCAAGGGACCCCACUGGUGCAUG